rnacentral:lncRNA from 1 species
CCACAGCCAAAUGUGGAGAAGAGGACCUGAAGAGUUGAUCUGAAGUCUUUAUCUUGUUCCUGCCCAUGUCAGCAAAGACAUUGGCUCAAAACCCUUUCUAUCUUAGAAUUCAUAUGGCGCCUUAAGCUACUGUGAUCUGUUCAGCCUUCUGUGGCUACAUAUGUCUCCAAGCAGAGUGAUCGUUCCUAACAGCAUGAACUCCACAUUAUCGUCUUCCUUGCCUUUUGAAUCACUCUAAAUUAAGUAGCGGCCGUGUGCACCGACAGGAGAAAAAACUGCUUGGGCUCAGCGGAACUAGCCACAGUUUAC